rnacentral:rRNA from 1 species
CUGGCGGCGUGCUUAACACAUGCAAGUCGAACGAAGCGCCUCGCCCGAUGAUACGGAGUGCUUGCACAAAGUUGAAUCAAUUGAGGUGACUGAGUGGCGGACGGGUGAGUAACGCGUGGGUAACCUACCCUAUACAGGGGGAUAACAGUUGGAAACGACUGCUAAUACCGCAUAAGCGCACGGUAUUGCAUGAUAUAGUGUGAAAAGAUUUAUCGGUAUAGGAUGGACCCGCGUCUGAUUAGCUAGUUGGUGAGGUAACGGCUCACCAAGGCGACGAUCAGUAGCCGACCUGAGAGGGUGACCGGCCACAUUGGGACUGAGACACGGCCCAAACUCCUACGGGAGGCAGCAGUGGGGAAUAUUGCACAAUGGGCGAAAGCCUGAUGCAGCGACGCCGCGUGAACGAAGAAGUAUUUCGGUAUGUAAAGUUCUAUCAGCAGGGAAGAAUAAUGACGGUACCUGACUAAGAAGCUCCGGCUAAAUACGUGCC